rnacentral:lncRNA from 1 species
AAAAAUAGAUUUAAAUGGAGAUAUACUCCGAGUCUAAUUAAUUUUAUUCCGAGACCACAAUUUUUGUGUAAUACUACCAAUUUUCAAAAUACGCUUACAAAAGUAUGUGCAUAUCCUUUAAAUCUGAUGAAAAAAACAUGCUAUUUCUCAUAAUAGUUGUAUGUUCAUUAUCACUACUACUAUGAAUGUCUUUUCCUAUUAAGUUUUCAUUGUCUGAAAGGUCAUGUAGAUUAAAAUCAUCUUUUAGAUGUGUGUUAUGUCUUCACCAGCUAUAUUGAUAAAUCAAGCUAUCUUCCAUAUAUGAUCAAACCUUUCUUACAAAAGCCUAUAUUGAUCUUCUAUUCAUAUGCUAAUUCAUCUCUUUAGCCAGGUUUUCUCAUAUUUUCCCGGAGGAGGUAAUAUUCAACUUUCUCUCUAAUAGAAUCACCUGUUCUUAAUUUUCUUUUUUUUAUCUUGUAAUGUCCACUUAAAAUUCUUGUAUUGCCAACACUUAGCUUAUGCUCUCAUAAGACUUUACAGCCCAAAAUUGAGUACUAUAAAAGCACUGUUAGUCUUAUUUUGAAAAAUGUUGUACACUCUCUAUAAUAUUAGGAUUAUUGUUAAGGUGUUGGAAUAUUAGGUCUAAUAUUAUUGCUAUAUGGUUUUUAUAUCUCUCACAGUAUCAACACAUCAUCAUACUAUCAUUCUUAGUUCUAUUUCUCUCGUUUCAUCCUCUCUUCAUUGUUAUUACCUAUAAUUUCAAUGAUAACAAAAGGAAAGUCGCUUAUCUUAGAUAUAUAUAUAUAGCUGCAAAGUUUCUAAUCUCUAAUCACAAUAGAUGAUACCACAGAAAUAAAUGCAAUGCAAGGUGUAGUGCACCCAGAUACAAUGAAAGUGAAUAGAAAAGUUACGUUGUUGAAUCUGCCGCUGCGACGACUCUUGUUCCAUCCCCACCUGGAGAAAAUUGACCAAAAUAUUGUCACCAUAAUAUUACCAAUCACUCAAGAUUAAUUACACAAAAAGAAACUGAAACUGAUGAAACCACAACUCUCAUAUAAACAUGCACACCAGGGUAGAAAGCAUUGAAAUUUUUUGCCGCAUUGUUUAUAUUGAAUCAAAUGAGAUGGUGAAAUAAAAAGUUUGUUCUCAAUUUUUUCUUGGAUGAAUGAAUCUUUCUAAAUAUAAAUUUCUUGUAUAGUCUUCACUUUAACAUUCUUUUCUCUAAGUUCAGGUAAUUCCUAGUUCGAGCAUGACUUCCAUUCGCUGUUUCUAUUUAUUUGCAAGGUGUCAACAUUGAAUAUAAAGACUACAACCAUUUUGACUCGCUCUUAACAAUUAAGAUAAAGCAAUUAUGCAGGUGCAAAUAUAAGAGCGUGUGUCAUUAAGAAUUAAAUAUGGUUUUUCUCUUUCUUCUCUGGCUACCAUUAACACCCUCACUCGUGGAAACCAGAUGGGUUAUUCACAAUGGAGGACAAAAUGGAUAUCUAUUGAGGGUGGAUCAUAAUAACCAUUGUUCCGUUCGUGGAUACCCUCAUAUUCAUAACAAUUAUCUUUUUAUUAAAUAUAUAUAUAUUAUGUACUUAACUCCAAUGGUUUGGUCUAGUUAUAAAAAGACAGGCUCUGAAACCGCAGGUUGCAGGUUUAAGCCUCGCUAGUGCCAUUGGAGGGAGAAAAAUGUAAAAAUCCAUUUGUAAGUGCUCAGUGAGUCCUAAGGUCUUCCCUACCUUGGACUGGAGCCUCAUCCUCUCAUGCUAAAUUUUAUUUUAUCACUUUUAGAUGAGAUAAAUUAUUUUCUUCAUUAUUUUAUAUUUUGUAUUGUGGAUGAAAGCCCAU